AUUGAACGCUGGCGGCAGGCCUAACACAUGCAAGUCGAGCGGAUGAGGAGAGCUUGCUCUCUGAUUUAGCGGCGGACGGGUGAGUAAUGCCUAGGAAUCUGCCUGGUAGUGGGGGAUAACGUCCGGAAACGGGCGCUAAUACCGCUUACGUCCUACGGGAGAAAGCAGGGGACCUUCGGGCCUUGCGCUAUCAGAUGAGCCUAGGUCGGAUUAGCUAGUUGGUCAGGUAAUGGCUCACCAAGGCGACGAUCCGUAACUGGUCUGAGAGGAUGAUCAGUCACACUGGAACUGAGACACGGUCCAGACUCCUACGGGAGGCAGCAGUGGGGAAUAUUGGACAAUGGGCGAAAGCCUGAUCCAGCCAUGCCGCGUGUGUGAAGAAGGUCUUCGGAUUGUAAAGCACUUUAAGUUGGGAGGAAGGGCAGUAAGUUAAUACCUUGCUGUUUUGACGUUACCGACAGAAUAAGCACCGGCUAACUUCGUGCCAGCAGCCGCGGUAA
rnacentral:rRNA from 1 species